rnacentral:lncRNA from 1 species
CCUUACAAGUGAUCUUAUUCCUUCAUAUUGCUUAGCAUUAGUCCAAUGUCCUUUGGUUUCAAGUGAAAGACUCCUUUAGGCACUUCUUGCUGGGCAUAUCUAGUGGUAACAAACUUCCUUGGAUUUUGUUUAUCUGGGAAUUAAUUUCUGCCUUACUUUUGAAAGACAAUUUUGCCAGAUAUACAAUUCUUGGUUAUCAUUUUUCUUUUCUUUCAGCACUUUGAAUAUACCAGCCCACUGCCUUCUGGCUUUAAGGAUUCUGAUGAAGAAUCUGUGGAUAAUCUUAUUGAGUAUCCUUUGUACAUGACAAGUCAUCUCUCUUGUUCCUUUCAAAUUUCUCUUUGUGUUUUGAUUGUAAUUUGUCUUGGUUUGAGCCUCUUUGAAUUCAUCCUUCUUGGAGUUCACUGAGAUUCUUGGAUACUUCUAUUCAUGUAUUUCAUCAAAUUGGGGUUCAAAUCAAGUUCAAGUUAUCCCUCUUCUCCUUUCGUUCGCCUCCUGGGACUCCCACAGCAUGUAUAUUGUUUCACUUAAAGGUGUUCCAGAUGUGCUUUAUAUUCUGGUCACUUUUCUUCAAUCUUUCUUUUGAUUUUCCUAUCUUGAAGUUGACUGAUUCUUCUGUAGUCUCAAAUCUGCUUUUGAAUCCCUCUAGCAAAUUUUUCAUUUCAGUUAUGGUAAUUUUAGCACCAGAAUUUUUUUUAUUUCGUUUUGUGUUUGUGUGAUAUUUCCAUUUUGUUCAUGCAUCAUUUUCCUGCCCUUCUCCAUGUCUUCCUUUAGUUAUUUGACCAUCUGUGAGAUAGAUGUUUGUAUAAUAGAACUGCCAUCACGUCUUUUUAAGAGACAGUUUCUGAAUUUUUUUUUAAAGUGGGCCUUGUUUUUUUCUUUCUGUUGUUUUGUUUGGGGUUUUUUUGUGUGUGUGUGUUUCUUGUGGUUUUGUUUUUGGCUGUUGGGUUGUUUUUGUUUUUGAACACUGGACAUUUAAAUUUAGUACUGUGUUAACUCUGGAAAUCAGAUUCUUCAUCUUUUCCCAGGGUUUGCCAUUUUUACUUAAUUUGUUUAAUUGUCAUAGGCUGUCUCUACUGGGGAACAGCGUGUGGUGUAUCUCAGGGUCUUUUCUGAACCUGUGCCUUAACUUUUAAAAUUCUACUGUAUAUGUGAUUGCUUUGAGAUGUCUUAAUCCUAAAUAUCUGGCUCCCAAGAGAAGAGAAAGAAAAAUGAAGAGGAAAGGUAUGUGGUACCUUAAGUUCCCUGGAAGUCACUUCAGCCACAGAGGGAGGGGCUUGCAACAAUUGGAUAAGGGUUGUACAAAUGGCUGCCCACUUCUAUGUUUUCACCUCUGCAAUCAGUUUAGAGCACAGAUCCCCAAUAUUUGUAGAGUGGGAUCCUACCCAGGCUCCCAAAAACUGCAUGCAAGCUGCUCCAAGGACACACAUAGAGCUGCCUGACAGGGCAAGUGGAUAAGGGAUGGGUAGCUGCUACAGUGCUAAAGACUGAUACUGGCCCAAAAUAGCUGCAAUUUACUACUGCUUAUGCUUUCCUCUGGAAGUUAUAAGCCUUCAAUGGACCCCAGAGUUCCAAAAUAGUUACAGUAGACAUUCUGCCAGUAUAAUUGUUGUCAGGGUAGGGAGAUGACUUCCUUAUUGCUUCCUAUCUACUAUCUUCCCAGAAUCCUUAUUCAAAUGUACUAGAAUUUUUUAACCCUUUUAUGUUACAUGACAUGGGUUUUUGGCUAUUACAAAUUAAGCUAUGACCUUGAAUAUACAGGUCUUCAGAUGGGUCUAUGCUUUCAUUUCCUAAAAUCUAGAAGUACAAUACCUUUGUUACAAGUCAGGGGAAUAUUUAAAUUUUUGGAAACCAACAAAUUGUGUUCUAAAGUGCCUAUAGCAUGUUACUUUCCCCCAGCAGUGAAUGAGGUCCAAUUCUUCCAUAUACUAGCCAAUAAUUGCUAUGAUCAGCAUUUUUAAUGUUUGCCAUUUUAACAGGCAGGUAGUUGUAGAAUCUCAUUGUGGCUUUACCUUGCAUUUAUCUAAUGACUCAUGAUCUCAAUCGAACAUUUUUAAAAUGUUAUUUACCACCCACAUAUCUUUGGUAAAAUUUACAUUCAUAUCUUUUGCCUAUUGUUGAAAUAAAUGUUGGUUGAUAUUUCUAUUUUCAUUAUCAAGAAUAUAAUGAAACAGCAAAGAAAUUUGUUGGAACUUCAGUCAUUUAUCAGUGAUGUCAGUAACUUAUUUACUUAACGGGGUAAUAAGUUUUGGAUACCAAAAAUAUUUCCUCAAAUUUCCAAUGGAAAACUAUAGACACAAUGCACUUUUUAAAAAAUAUUUUACUUAUUUAUUAAUGAGAGACAGAGAGAGGCACAGAGACACAGGCAGAGGGAAAAGCAGGCUCCAUGCAGGGAGCCCAACAUGGGACUCGAUCCGGGGUCUCCAGGAUCAGGCCCUGGGCGGAAGGCGGUGCCAAACUGCUGAGCCACCCAGGCUGCCCGACACAAUGCACUUUUAAGUUUAAUUUGAAUUAUUAACAUAAUGUCUACUUUCUUAAAUCUUCACAGCUAAUGAAACAAUAAGUUGAGCUCUGAGUUAUAGUGUUUACCACGCAGCCAUUUUCAAACUACAACAUGCUGUCAUUGAAUGUGGAGUUGGGAGACUAUGUGCAGUAACACACCAUUGUAGUCUAUUUCCACUACAGAGAUGCAGUAGAUGUAAAUUACCUUAUGCAAAGGUUUCUCUUUUUUUAAGAUUUUAUUUAUUUAUUCAUGAGAGAGGCAGAGACAUAGACAGAGGGAAAAGCAGACUCCCUGCACCGAACCUGAUGCGGGACUUGAUCCCAGGACUCCAGGAUCAUGACCUGAGCCAAAGGCAGACACUCAACUACUAAACCCCCCAGAUGCCCCAUGUUUUCUGAAUUCCAUUAUGAAUUCUCUAAUAUGAGAAUAUUUUCUAAAGGCAUACCAAGAUUUUUUACAUCCAAGUUUCUCAUUAGCAUAAAUUCUGUAAUCCUGAGCAGUGUUGGAGUCAUCCAUAAAGGACUUCCCAAAUUCCUUAAAUUCUUAGGAAAUUUUCACCCAUAUGGUUUCUCUGGUGUACUUUUAGGGCUGGACUGUAUAUAAAGGCCUUCCUGCAUUUUUCACAUUUAAAGGGUUUCUCACCAGUGUGUAUCCUCUGAUGUUCAGUAAGGAAUGAAUUAAGUCUAAAGGUCUUGCCACAUUCCUUACAUUCAAAGGAUUUCUCACCAGUAUGAACAUUCUAAUGUCCAAUAAGUUGCCCAUACAGGGUAAAGGCCUUUCCACAUCCCUUACAUUCAUAGGGAUUUUCACCAGGAUGAAUUCUUCCAUGUUGUACAAAGUAUGAGGCAUGACUAUAAGUUUUCCACAUUCCUUGAAUUUAUAUGGUUUCACAUCAAUGUAAAUUUUCUGAGGUUGUGUAGGAUGUACAUGUAUUCUAAAGGCCUUCUCACAUUCCUUAGAUUCAUAGGGUUUCUCACCAGUAUGAAUCCUCCGGUGCUGAACAAGGUACAAGCCAGUACUAAAGGCCUUGCCACACUCUUUACACUAAUAGGAUUUCUCACCUGAAUGAAGUCUUUCAUGUUGAACAGGAUAUGAGGUAUGACUAAAGGCUUUCCCACAUUCUUUGCAUUCAUAGGGCUUUAUCCCUGCAUGAAUUCUCUGAUGUGCAUUAAGAAAUGAACUAAGUCGAGAGGCCUUUCCACAUUCCUUACAUUCAAAAGGUUUCUCAUCAGUAUGAAUACUCUGACAUGGAGUAAGCUGUCCAUAUACAGUAAAGGCUUUCCCACAUUCCUCACAUUCACAGGAUUUCUCAACAGUAUGAAUUCUCUGAUGUUUAACAAGGGGUGAGCCUCUAAUAAAAGCCUUCCCACAUUCUUUACAUUCAUAGAGUUUCUCAAAAGUGUGAAUUCUCUGAUGUUGAACAAAGCACAAAAUGGUAUAGUAAAGGCCUUCCCAUAUGCCUUACAUUUAUAAGGUUUCUCACCAAUAUGAAGUCUGAUGCUCAGGGAGUCGAUGUCUAUUCCUAAAGUUCUUUCCACAUUCUUUAUGUUUCCAGGGUUUUUCACUAGAAUGUGUUCUCCCAUGUUGAACAGGGUUUGAGCCUUGACAAAAAGUCUUCCCAUAUUCCUGACAUUCAUAUGAUUGCUCUCUAUUAAGAAUUCUCUGAUGUAGACCAAAAGAUGUACACUUCUCAAUUGUGGGCACUUCUUUAGAGCUGACUGUCUCAUUCUUCAGUUGAAAAUCUGAAAGAAGGGGAUGCCUGGGUGGCUCAGUGGUUGAGUGUCUACCUUCAGCUCAGGACAUGAUCCCAGGAUCCAGGGAUCGAGUUCUGCAAUGGGCUUCCUGCAAGGAGCCUGCUUCUCCCUCUGCCUGUGUCUCUGCCUCUGUGUCUCUCAUGAAUAAAUAAGUAAAAUCUUUAAAAAUAAUCAUAAUAAUAAAAUAAGAUAAAAUAAAAUAUAUUAUUUAAAAAAGCAGAGCUUUCUCCUGGCUAAGGGCAGAGGGGAGUCAGAGACCAUCAAAGUGUGAGAAGGACAAGACUUGCUGGUUGCUAGCCAGAAGACAGAGGGGGCCACAUGGAAAGUGUGAGAAGGAAAUAAAUUCUACCAGUAACCAGUGAGCUUCAAAGAAGACUUCAUGCCCUAAAGAACUGCAGUCACAGCUGAUACUAGGAUUUACCAUCCUGUGAACUAAUGUAUAGAACUAUGUGAUGAUAAAUUACUGUAGUCUUAAGCUACAAAAUUUGUGGUCUUUUGUUACAAAGCAAUAGAAAACUAACACACUCUCUAAAAGCAGGCCCAACCCCUAUUUCAUUCAGCACUGAACUAUAUA